UGGACAUGACCGGAAAUCAUACUGUGAAUUGUUUUAUGUUAUGGUUUCUUCUUUUAUAUUUACGGUAUCUUUAACUUAUAUUGAAAAGCGACAAAAAUUAGACAGAUGCCAGAGAAGAUUAUCGCAUGUUAUGAAAUGAAUGUCAGUUGUCAAACCCGGAUGCUUAAACAGAUGCGCUUAAUGUGAGAUUUGGCCACCAGAUCUGUUACCUUUGACAAAGUUAAGGUGCGUGUGUAGACGUCAUCCCGCAGCACAAGCGGGAGAAUCAACUAAAAUAGACAUCAACUAUCGUGGCAUACCUUAAUACUCUGGAGGUCCACUUUAGGAAGGAGAUAUUUGAGUGAAGGACUUUGAUGGGCGACCAUGCAUAGUGUGCCUGUGGCAUACAUAUAUUACAUUAACUGAGGGUCUCUAUUAGGCAGUAGACCCUUCUGUGAAACCCCUGAAACCAACCUGGUGCUUUAAAUGUGUUAAACAAAGAGUCCACACAGUGACGCCGUCUACUGAAGACGUGUUCCUCACCUUAAACUCAAUGACUCGCCAGGACCCAAUGACUCUGAUUACUAUCAAAUGGAGAAAUAUAGAAACACUUUUCUGAAAGUCUGGCCGAAGAACACAAAGUGACAUUACAGGAAGAGAUAUUUUAAAAAAGAUGAGUGUUUUAGGUUUCAGCUGAUCAACAAAUGUGUUCUGCUGAGUUUGUUUUUUUGCGGUAACUGCAGGAAAAUCUAGUUAAGCUAUAAAGCUGGUCUAGUUGGUUUGUAACAGAUCUAAGAUGGUCAGCCUAUCCAGUUAUGUCUGUAGUACACUUAGGAUGUUCUAAACUACUUCUUAUAAUAUUAUUAAUUAAGUUUGGCACAAUUAUAUUUACAUUAUGGUGUUACUAAAAAUGAUGAUAAAGUUAUAGGAAAUUAUGAAGUGAAAUAAUGUACUGUUAUAUUCCCUGUUUAAAUCAAAGAAUGAACACAGUUUGUGCUCAGA